UUUACAUGUAAAGCGCCAAGUUGAACAUAAAGUAACAUUUUGCUAUAUUAUUUUGAAGUGAGAGAUCAUCAUUGUGAAAGAUGCGUAGAUUUAAGAUAGGAAUUGUAAUUAUUACAAUUACACAAAUUUGCUUUGUUUUCGGUGAGUUGUCAAUAGACCAAAAAAUCCGAGAAGGAAAUCGCAAGCCAGAAAAAGACAUCCGUUUGAUUGGCGGGAAAUCGGCGCUGGAGGGUCGAGUUGAGAUUCGGUAUAACAGUACAUGGGGUACUGUAUGUGACGAUGGAUUUAAUAGAAAAGCCGCUAAAGUUGUCUGUCAUAUGCUUGGUUAUCGAAGAAAUGGUGCAAGACCCUACACUCGGGCUGCUUAUGGUGAAGGUAAAGGACCUGUAUGGCUUGAUGGGUUACAUUGCCGUGGAAAAGAAACUUCUUUGAAAGACUGUAAUCACUUACCUUGGGGAUUUCACAAUUGUGGACACAAAGAGGAUGCAGGCGUAAAAUGCAAAAAAAAAAAGAAAGUCGAAGAGAAAGGAAUGCUCACACUGGAGCUUGACAUGAUUGUCGAAGAGAAGGAAAGACACAAAAUAUUUUACAGAAACAAGAGUUACCGUAAAAUUGCUAUCAAGGACCCAUCAAAUUAUUGGAAUAGAAAAAUAUUCUAUGUGAUUGGCGAAGGCAUAGAUACCGGUGCAGAGAUUUUAAUUCGGGAUGCCUUGGAUGAAUGGGAAUCGUAUACCUGUCUACAUUUCUCUAAAGAUGUUCUGAACAAGCACUACAACAAAAUCGUCUUCACCUCGAAAAAAGACGAAAAAAGGUGUGCUUCCAUUUAUGUUGGAAUGAAACAAGGAUCGCAGGAAAUUCACAUCGCAAAACACUGCCUUCACCGGGACAUCAUUUUACAUGAAGUAGGUCAUGCAUUAGGUUUGUACCAUGAGCACAGUCGAGCAGACAGAGAUAGGUUUAUCAAAAUAAAUUAUGAAAACAUUGAAGACGACUACAAGGACCAGUUCGAAAAAUGGCCAAAGGACGAAUAUGAAGAUUUCUACAAACCAUACGACUACAAGAGCAUAAUGCAUUAUGGGCAAUUUUUUUUCUCAAAGAACGAGUCCCAAGAUCUCAUCACCAUAGAAACGCUGAAACCUGAAUUUCAAGACAUCAUUGGCAAAGCAAAGCAUCCAAGCUUUUUGGACUAUAAAAUUGUAAAUAGUAUGUAUGAAUGUUCAGGCCGAUGUGAUUAUGUACCAUGUCCUGUACGUGGAUUUCUUGGGGAAAAUUGCCACUGCUACUGUGAGGGAAAUGGUGAAGACAGAACAGUCAAGCCCUGUUUCGAAAAAAACGACUGUCCUAAACCGUCGAUCAAUCUUUAUUUAUUUGAAGUAUGGGAUAAAAGAGAUGAUAAUCCAGUGAAUCUAAGCCGCGACUCCUAUCCCGACGAAACAGUUUUCAACGUUUACUCCACAAACUCAAACUGUAGUAAUGCUUCUCAGUUUCAAUGUGACAAUGGAAAAUGGGGCGGUAAAACGCCAGACUGUCCUGUGGAACUAGAAGUAGAAUUCGCUGAGGGUACACAAGACGAAGGAAUUGUUGAAGUGAUAUUAAAUGGACAACGUGGAUUGAUCUGUGAUGAUGACUGGGACGAUAACGACGCAACUGUUGCCUGUAGGAUGAUGGGAUUUGCAUUUGGUAAAGCUAGGUUUGAAAAUAAAUCAACCGCAAACGAAUCACUGUUAAUAUUAAUGGACGAAGUAAGAUGUAGCGGAAUGGAAUCAACGUUGUCAGAAUGCAAGCACAACGGAUGGGGAAAUCACGAUUGUCAACACACCGAACCUGCAACAAUUAAAUGUUUUUCUAACAAAGACACGGAACAUACUGAUAUUCUGAGUAAACGCAACUGUGGUAAAGUACCACUGAAAGGUUUAAAGCGAAAAAAACGGGAAUUACGUAUAACUGGAGGAACCGAAGCAGUUAAGGGAAUGUAUCCAUGGCAAGUUGAAAUUCAAAGAAUGAGAGGAAGAUGGGUCCACUGGUGUGGCGGAACAAUAAUAACAAGUCACUGGAUCCUUAGUGCUGCUCAUUGUUUUGAUGACGAUGAUGGCAGAAGUAUAAAAAUGAAUUAUAAAGACUUUAGAGUUGUUCUUGGGGACCAUGACCUGACACAACAUGAUGAUUAUGAACAAACAUUUCACACUGAAUAUUUGGUCAAACACUGGCAAUAUAAUGAAAUAGAUCGAAAAUACGCUGACUAUGAUAUAGCGUUACUCAAAAUGGACUCGGAAUCCGGUGAUGGAGCAGUCUUUAAUGACUUUGUGCAGCCAGCAUGCCUACCCAGGGAGUAUGAUCCAAUUGAUUAUGGAGAGAAAUGUGAAAUCUCUGGUUGGGGAAAGUCGUUUGAAUCUGGCGAAAUUUCAAAAAAGCUGAAGUCUACCAAAGUUCCAGUUAUUAAUGAAAAGAAAUGUAAACAAUUUUAUAAACGCUAUCCAAUUGAUACACAGCGAAUAAUAUGUGCCGGGGACGUCAAAAUUGGAACUGAUUCAUGCCAUGGUGAUUCCGGUGGACCGCUCGUCUGCGAUAACAAUGACAGAAACACCGUAAUUGGAAUAACAUCCUGGGGUGAAGGGUGUGGCCGACUGUAUACUCCAGGGAUUUACACAAAAGUUUCUACAUUUGUAAGCUGGAUAGCAGAACAGAUAACACUCCAUGAUACAAAAGUUGACAUACCAGAGGUUACCAUCAUCGUGAAACAGACUAAAUAUGUGAGUGUUGUUGGAGAAACUGCUCGACUCGAAUGUUACGCUGAGGAUGCCACUGGUAGAGUGACCUUGUUCUGGUCUCGUGCUGCUGGAUUACCAUCGGGAUCAUCACAGGGAAAUGGUAUCCUUACCAUUCUUAAUGUACAGCCAAGCCAUGCUGGAAACUAUGUAUGUACCGGAACAGGUACAGAUUCUGGCCGUGUGAGCACAGCUAUAGUAGUCCUGGAAGUGAAAAUGGAAGAAGAAACUGAGGCACCAACUGUAAGUCUGGAACCAGAAAAGGUUACAAUACGAAUGGGAACCAAUAAAACCCUGCGUUGUAAAGUUACAGGUAAACCAGAACCAAAUGUCACAUGGAUAAAGUCUAGAGAGGAACUUGCCUCUAACCAUCAGGUGAAUGGUAAUGUACUGAAAAUUACACAGGCAACAAUGACAGACAGGGGUAUCUAUGUCUGCCGAGCUGAAAAUGCGGUUGGAUUAGACCAGGACUGGAUAGUUGUUGAAGUUGAAAGACGCAUGAGACCAAAGAUUGAUCUAUAUCCAAAGACACAGCGUGUGACUGUAGGCAGUACUAGUGUCAUCUUUCAGUGUAUAGUAAUGGCCGGCGAUCCUUUUCCGACAGUUACAUGGUCUAGAGCUGGAGGUGCCCCAAUGCCAGCAGAUAAAAUGGAGACUAUGGAGAAUGGAGUGAUCAUGUUCAAACAGGUGACCCAGGCGGAACAGGGAGGGUAUAUAUGUGCUGCAGAAAAUGAAUUGGGGACAACCACUGCCACAGCAACCCUUAUAGUAGAAGUUCCUCCCUCAGUAGUUGUAGGGCAGCGUGAUGUAUAUACCGAGGAAAAUCGUAUUGCAAGGUUACGCUGUGAUGUCAGUGGCAGUCCAACCCCGGUAGUGUGGUGGGAGAAAGAGGGAGAUCAGUUACCUGCCCAACAUAAAAUACAGGAUGGCGUUCUCACAAUCUAUGGCGUACGAGAGGAGGACGCAGGACGAUAUAUCUGUACAGCGUCGAGCAGUGCUGGUUCAUCCAGAGAUUACGCUGUUAUCCAUGUUACCAUUGACAUACCAGAGGUUACCAUCAUCGUGAAACAGACUAAAUAUGUGAGUGUUGUUGGAGAAACUGCUCGACUCGAAUGUUACGCUGAGGAUGCCACUGGUAGAGUGACUCUGUUCUGGUCUCGUGCUGCUGGAUUACCAUCGGGAUCAUCACAGGGAAAUGGUAUCCUUACCAUUCUUAAUGUACAGCCAAGCCAUGCUGGAAACUAUGUAUGUACCGGAACAGGUACAGAUUCUGGCCGUGUGAGCACAGCUAUAGUAGUCCUGGAAGUGAAAAUGGAAGAAGAAACUGAGGCACCAACUGUAAGUCUGGAACCAGAAAAGGUUACAAUACGAAUGGGAACCAAUAAAACCCUGCGUUGUAAAGUUACAGGUAAACCAGAACCAAAUGUCACAUGGAUAAAGUCUAGAGAGGAACUUGCCUCUAACCAUCAGGUGAAUGGUAAUGUACUGAAAAUUACACAGGCAACAAUGACAGACAGGGGUAUCUAUGUCUGCCGAGCUGAAAAUGCGGUUGGAUUAGACCAGGACUGGAUAGUUGUUGAAGUUGAAAUUCCUCCCUCAGUAGUUGUAGGGCAGCGUGAUGUAUACACCGAGGAAAAUCGUAUUGCAAGGUUACGCUGUGAUGUCAGUGGCAGUCCAACCCCGGUAGUGUGGUGGGAGAAAGAGGGAGAUCAGUUACCUGCCCAACAUAAAAUACAGGAUGGCGUUCUCACAAUCUAUGGCGUACGGGAGGAGGACGCAGGACGAUAUAUCUGUACAGCGUCGAGCAGUGCUGGUUCAUCCAGAGAUUACGCUGUUAUCCAUGUUACCACGGAGAGCAGUAUUGACAACCUAGGAGAAAAUGUUGACACCCAGGUGGUGAAUGUUGGAGACAGUGUCCCCAUUGGAUGUCUUGUUACAGGAACACCACUGCCAACAAUUACGUGGUCAAAAGAUGAUGGGCCACUUCCCAAAGCUACUAUUCUCAAAGAUGGCUUUCUUAUAAUUCCACAAGCAAGGAUAGAAGAUGCUGGUACCUACACUUGUCUGGCUGUAAAUGAGGCUGGUUCAAUCACCUCUAAAGUUGUUCUCUAUGUUAUAUUUCCUCCCUCAGUAGUUGUAGGGCAGCGUGAUGUAUACACCGAGGAAAAUCGUAUUGCAAGGUUACGCUGUGAUGUCAGUGGCAGUCCAACCCCGGUAGUGUGGUGGGAGAAAGAGGGAGAUCAGUUACCUGCCCAACAUAAAAUACAGGAUGGCGUUCUCACAAUCUAUGGCGUACGAGAGGAGGACGCAGGACGAUAUAUCUGUACAGCGUCGAGCAGUGCUGGUUCAUCCAGAGAUUACGCUGUUAUCCAUGUUACCACGGAGAGCAGUAUUGACAACAGAGGAGAAAAUGUUGACACCCAGGUGGUGAAUGUUGGAGACAGGGUCUCCAUUGGAUGUUUUGUUACAGGAACACCACUGCCAACAAUUACAUGGUUAAAAGAUGAUGGGCCACUUCCCAAAGCUACUAUCCUCGGAGAUGGCAUUCUUAUAAUUCCACAAGCAAGGAUAGAAGAUGCUGGUACCUACACUUGUCUGACUGUAAAUGAGGCUGGUUCAGUCACCUCUAAAGUUGUUCUGUAUGUUAGAUGUGACAGAAGAAUUGGCUGCAAUGGUAAUUAAAAGAAGCACCAUGAUGAUCAAAUAGAUUUUUGUUUUGUAUCAUUAUUUGUACGAGCUCCGCCCCACAUAUUUGCACCAUCAGCAUCAACUGCAGCUCUAAGUGACAGUGCAAAACUGGUCUGCGAUGCCUGGGGAUAUCCACCUCCUU
rnacentral:misc_RNA from 1 species